rnacentral:pre_miRNA from 1 species
CAACUACUCCCUCUGUCCCAAAUUUCUUGUCUUAGAUUUGUCUAGAUACGGAUGUAUCUAAUACUAAAAUGUGACUUGAUACAUCCGUAUCUAGACAAAUCUAAGACAUGAAUUUUGGGAUGGAGGGGGUACUUU